rnacentral:rRNA from 1 species
AACGAACGCUGGCGGCAGGCCUAACACAUGCAAGUCGAGCGAGGACUUCGGUCCUAGCGGCGGACGGGUGAGUAACGCGUGGGAACGUGCCCUUUUCUUCGGAAUAGCCCUGGGAAACUGGGAGUAAUACCGGAUGAGCCCUUUGGGGGAAAGAUUUAUCGGCGAAGGAUCGGCCCGCGUUGGAUUAGGUAGUUGGUGGGGUAAUGGCCUACCAAGCCGACGAUCCAUAGCUGGUUUGAGAGGAUGAUCAGCCACACUGGGACUGAGACACGGCCCAGACUCCUACGGGAGGCAGCAGUGGGGAAUCUUAGACAAUGGGGGAAACCCUGAUCUAGCCAUGCCGCGUGAGCGAUGAAGGCCUUAGGGUUGUAAAGCUCUUUCAGCUGGGAAGAUAAUGACGGUACCAGCAGAAGAAGCCCCGGCUAACUCCGUG